GACGAACGCUGGCGGCGUGCUUAACACAUGCAAGUCGAACGAGUGGCGAACGGGUGAGUAAUACGUGAGUAACCUGCCCUCUUUUUGGGAUAAGCCUUGGAAACGGGGUCUAAUACCGAAUAAAGGGGGAUGGGCUCGCGGCCUAUCAGCUUGUUGGUGGGGUGAUGGCCUACCAAGGCGGUGACGGGUAGCCGGCCUGAGAGGGUGACCGGCCACAUUGGAACGGGGGUACGGCCAAGACUCCUACGGGGGGAGGCGGUGGGGGUUAUUGCACAUUGGGCGAAGGCCUGAUGCGGCGAGGCCGCGUGGGGGAGGAGGGCUUUGGGGUUGUAAACCUCUUUCGCUAUCGAAGGUAGGUGGAGAAGAAGCGCCGGCUAACUACGUGCCAGCAGCCGCGGUAAUUC
rnacentral:rRNA from 1 species